rnacentral:rRNA from 1 species
AUACAUGCAAGUCGAGCGGACUUUUAAAGCUUGCUUUUGAAAGGUCAGCGGCGGACGGGUGAGUAACACGUGGGCAACCUGCCUGUAAGACUGGGAUAACUUCGGGAAACCGGAGCUAAUACCGGAUAAUAUAAGGAACCUCCUGGUUCUUUAUUGAAAGAUGGUUUCGGCUAUCACUUACAGAUGGGCCCGCGGCGCAUUAGCUAGUUGGUGAGGUAACGGCUCACCAAGGCGACGAUGCGUAGCCGACCUGAGAGGGUGAUCGGCCACACUGGGACUGAGACACGGCCCAGACUCCUACGGGAGGCAGCAGUAGGGAAUCUUCCACAAUGGACGAAAGUCUGAUGGAGCAACGCCGCGUGAGCGAUGAAGGCCUUCGGGUCGUAAAGCUCUGUUGUUAGGGAAGAACAAGUGCGAGAGUAACUGCUCGCACCUUGACGGUACCUAACCAGAAAGCCACGGCUAACUACGUGCCAGCAGCCGCGGUAAUACGUAGGUGGCAAGCGUUGUCCGGAAUUAUUGGGCGUAAAGCGCGCGCAGGUGGUCCUUUAAGUCUGAUGUGAAAGCCCACGGCUCAACCGUGGAGGGUCAUUGGAAACUGGGGGACUUGAGUGCAGAAGAGGAAAGUGGAAUUCCAAGUGUAGCGGUGAAAUGCGUAGAGAUUUGGAGGAACACCAGUGGCGAAGGCGACUUUCUGGUCUGUAACUGACACUG